UAGCAUUUCUGAAGAGCAUUUCAAGAUUGGAAGUAUCCCUGUGACACAGUUGUUGAGACUGAUCUGACUAGCACAGCAUGUCAGAUCUAAGGCACUGAAAUAUUUCAGGGCUAUCUGUACAUGGGGUAGGUCUUUCCAACUAAUGCUCCAUUUAGAUUAGGGAUAUAGAAGAAAUUUGAAAAUAAUUUAAUAAAAAAUCCAAUGUGUUUAACUCUUAAAAAAAUCACAUAAGAAUUUGAAUUCUCUGUUUUUCUAUUGCUUACUUUGUGGUUGUUUUCACAGAUCAAAGUCCAGCUGUCCAGUGUCAUCACAUUCAGAUUCUGCCAUGACCUAAAUAAAAAGACUGCAGGUGGCUGCUCUCUCUCCAUCACCUCUUGACUUUUGGACUGUGCUGCUGCA
rnacentral:lncRNA from 1 species